UUAAGUGAUGAUAGCCUAGGAGAUACACCUGUUCCCAUGCCGAACACAGAAGUUAAGCCCUAGUACGCCUGAUGUAGUUGGGGGUUGCCCCCUGUUAGAUAUGGUAGUCGCUUAGC
rnacentral:rRNA from 4 species